GCCUCAGUAACGGCGAGUGAAGCGGCAACAGCUCAAAUUUGAAAUCUGGCGCAAGCCCGAGUUGUAAUUUGUAGAGGAUGCUUCAGGGCAGCGGCCGGUCUAAGUUCCUUGGAACAGGACGUCAUAGAGGGUGAGAAUCCCGUAUGCGACCGGUUGGCACCCGUCACGUAGCUCCUUCGACGAGUCGAGUUGUUUGGGAAUGCAGCUCUAAAUGGGUGGUAAAUUCCAUCUAAAGCUAAAUACCGGCCAGAGACCGAUAGCGCACAAGUAGAGUGAUCGAAAGAUGAAAAGCACUUUGGAAAGAGAGUUAAAAAGCACGUGAAAUUGUUGAAAGGGAAGCGCAUGCAACCAGACUUGUCGGCGGUGUUCCGCCGGUCCUUUGACCGGUCUACUCGCCGCCGGCAGGCCAGCAUCAUCUGGGUGCGCCGGAUAAAGGCGCGGGGAAUGUAGCUCCUCGGAGUGUUAUAGCCCCGCGCACAAUACGGCGCCGCCCGGGUGAGGUCCGCGCUUCGGCUAGGAUGCUGGCGUAAUGGUUGUAUGCGGCCCGUCUUGAAACACGGACCAAGGAGUCUAACAUCUAUGCGAGUGUUCGGGUGUCAAACCCCUACGCGGAAUGAAAGUGAACGGAGGUGGGAAGCGCAAGCUGCACCAUCGACCGAUCCUGAUGUCUUCGGAUGGAUUUGAGUAAGAGCAUAGCUGUUGGGACCCGAAAGAUGGUGAACUAUGCCUGAAUAGGGUGAAGCCAGAGGAAACUCUGGUG
rnacentral:rRNA from 1 species